AGAACGAACGCUGGCGGCAUGCCUAAUACAUGCAAGUCGAACGAACUCUUCGGAGUUAGUGGCGCACGGGUGCGUAACGCGUGGGAAUCUGCCCCUUGGUUCGGAAUAACAGUUGGAAACGACUGCUAAUACCGGAUGAUGACGAAAGUCCAAAGAUUUAUCGCCAAGGGAUGAGCCCGCGUAGGAUUAGCUAGUUGGUGAGGUAAAGGCUCACCAAGGCAACGAUCCUUAGCUGGUCUGAGAGGAUGAUCAGCCACACUGGGACUGAGACACGGCCCAGACUCCUACGGGAGCAGCAGUAGGGAAUAUUGGACAAUGGGCGAAAGCCUGACUCCAGCAAUGCCGCGUGAGUGAUGAAGGUCCUUAGGGUGUAAAGCUCUUUACCCGAGA
rnacentral:rRNA from 1 species